UUUCAGAGGUAAAGAUUGAAUCAUGAAGAUUUCUCCCAGAUCCGAUUUUGGUCUCGUAGAUCUGUCAUUAAUCAGAAGGUUACGAAUCAAAAGAUGUACCUCAGCUUCCGGACAUCAUCUUUACCAAGAGUGGCGGGUGGGGUUCACCACACCAAACAUGUACACAGGGUAGAUGAUUCGGCUAUUAAGUUAAUGCAUUAGGCACAAGUUCAUUAAAGCAUGGUGAAGUUUUGGGCUGCUUGUGUGGAGACUCGAUGAGCAUGGGUGGCCUGACAUCAACAACAGGCGCCAGCUAGGGUUCCGACCACCCAGUAAACGGACUUGCAUCGGAAGAGUUUGCAGCUCGUAAUGAUUUGGUUCAGGCAUUUCCUGAUAGGAUUCAAGUAAUACCUGAUGGGGGGUGCUGAUGCGCCCAAACAGACCGGAGGUUGGGCUGCCUCAGCAUCUCGUACAAAUAAUAUCAAGUUUUAUUCAGAUGGACGAUUUGAUGAUGAAUACUUUCAGCAAAGUGAAGAGUGGAGCCAAUUCAGGAAUGAAUAUGAAAUGAGAAAGAUGAAGCAGGCUUGUAUUUGUCUUUCUGCUUUUUGUG
rnacentral:lncRNA from 1 species